UAACUUACCUGGCGACGGGGGGGAUACGCUGCAUCAAAGAAGGCGGUGCUCCACCGACGAGGCCUCGUACAUUGGCACUCCUAUGGGUGACUCCUGCGACUACCCCAAAUCGGGGGGCCUCGAGCGCAUAAUUUUGGUUAGUGGGGACCAGCUGUUCGCGCCUGCUCCCUU
rnacentral:snRNA from 14 species